CAGCUUGCAGCUUCCUGAAAUGUCAGGGUGUUGCUCUGCAUGGGCUGAAGCCUUCUGGAAUUGUUUGGUGUCGCUGGGUAUUGUGGCCAUCUUAACUGCAACAAAGCAGGUCGACGUGAAGCAUUAAUAGAUUAUUUCAAGGCAGCUGCAAAUCCAUCACAACAAGAGAGAAAGUGGAAAGAGGGGAAUGGAAAAAUUGGGUGAUGUCCUCAAGGUCAUAAGCAGAGCAUGAGGAAAAGAUGCCAUUUUUACCUGGAGAAUUGAAGAACUGGACUGAAAGGGCAAAUAAACACUUCGAAACAUCCUGAACUGGAAUGUGCCCAGUACAGCAUGUCGUGUCUCAGGUGACA